CAAAGAUUACGCCAUGCAAGUGAAAGUAUAUGCAUAUUUUAUAUGUAGAAACUGCGAACGGCUCAUUAAAACAGUUAUAAUCUACUUGACAUUUUUUCUAUAAGGAUAACUACGGAAAAGCUGUAGCUAAUACUUGCUUUAGCACUCUUGAUUCAUUUCUUGAGUGUGUACUUGUUAAGCCUUUUAAGAAAAAAGUUAUUAACUUAAGGAAUUAUAACAAAGAAGCGACACGUAAUGGAUCCGUCCAUUUUUAGUGUGUAUCAAUCGAGUUUCUGACCUAUCAGCUUUUGAUGUUAGGGUAUUGGCCUAACAUGGCUAUGACGGGUAACGGGGAAUUAGAGUUCGAUUCCGGAGAGGGAGCCUGAGAAAUAGCUACCACAUCUAAGGAAGGCAGCAGGCGCGUAAAUUACCCAAUUCUAAAGAAGAGAGGUAGUGACAAGAAAUAACAAUACAAGGCCAAUCUGGCUUUGUAAUUGGAAUGAUGGGAAUUUAAAACCUUCCCAAAACUCAAUUGGAGGGCAAGUCUGGUGCCAGCAGCCGCGGUAAUUCCAGCUCCAAUAGCGUAUAUUAAAAUUGUUGCAGUUAAAACGCUCGUAGUUGAAUUUCAAAGAAUCGAUAUUUUAAGCAACGCUUCUAGCUUAAUCCACAUAACUGAUACUUCGUAUCGACUUUGUGCGCAUUUUGCUAUUAUGUGUUCUUUUAAUUAAAAUGAUUCUUUUUAAGGACUUUCUUUGCUUCGGUUUGGAAUCCCUUGUUACUUUGAGUAAAUUAGAGUGUUCAAAGCAAACAGAUAUAGCAUUGCGCGUUUGAAUACUACAGCAUGGAAUAACAAAAUUGAACAAGUCAGAAUUUUGUUCUUUUUUCUUAUUUUGGCUUAGUUACGAUUAAUAGGAGUAGCUUGGGGGCAUUUGUAUUCAGAUGUCAGAGGUGAAAUUCUUAGAUUUUCUGGAGACAAACAACUGCGAAAGCAUUUGCCUAAAAUACUUCCAUUAAUCAAGAACGAAAGUUAAGGGAGUGAAGACGAUCAGAUACCGUCGUAAUCUUAACCAUAAACUAUGCCGACUAGGCUUUGGAUGAAAGAUUUUAAAAUAAGAAUUUUCUCUUCGGAGUUUAUUCUUAGAUUGCUUCCUUCAGUGCCUUAUGAGAAAUCAAAGUCUUUGGGUUCUGGGGCGAGUAUUCGCGCAAGCGAGAAAGUUAAAAGAAUUGACGGAAGGGCACCACCAGGCGUGGAGCUUGCGGCUUAAUUUGACUCAACACGGGAAAACUCACUAGUUUAAGACAAGAGUAGGAUUGACAGAUUAAUAGCUCUUUCUUGAUUUCUUGGAUGGUGAUGCAUGGCCGUUUUUAGUUCGUGAAUAUGAUUUGUCUGGUUAAUUCCGAUAACGAACGAGAUCUUAACCUGCUAAUUAGCGGCAAAUACGAUAUAUUCUUACGUGGGACUGAAUUCGGUUGAUUUGCUUACUUUGAAGAAAAUAUUGGGAUACGUAACAGUUUCCCUUUCCCUUUUCUACUUAGUUCGCUUUUCAUACUGUUUCUUUUUCGCGUAAGAAUGUAUUU
rnacentral:rRNA from 1 species